UACGGAGGGUGCGAGCGUUGUCCGGAAUCAUUGGGCGUAAAGGGCGCGUAGGUGGCCUGCUAAGCGUGCGGUGAAAGCUCGGGGCUCAACCCCCGAGUCGGCCGUGCGAACUGGUGGGCUUGAGCACUGUAGAGGCAGGCGGAAUUCCGGGUGUAGCGGUGGAAUGCGUAGAGAUCCGGAAGAACACCGGUGGCGAAGGCGGCCUGCUGGGCAGUAGCUGACACUGAGGGCGCGACAGCGUGGGGGAGCAAACAGG
rnacentral:rRNA from 1 species